CCUGGAACUUGCUUUGUAGACCAGGCUGGCCUCAAACUCACAGAGAUCUGCCUGCCUCUGCCUCCCGAGUGCUGGGAU
ensembl:miRNA